UACGGGGGGAGCAAGCGUUGUUCGGAAUUACUGGGCGUAAAGGGCGCGUAGGCGCCUGUUAAGUCGAACGUGAAAUCCCCGGGCUCAACCCGGGAACUGCGUCCGAUACUGGCAGGCUUGAAUCCGGGAGAGGGAUGCGGAAUUCCAGGUGUAGCGGUGAAAUGCGUAGAUAUCUGGAGGAACACCGGUGGCGAAGGCGGGUCACU
rnacentral:rRNA from 1 species